AUUCGUUUUUUUAUAUAAAUCCUCGGGAAAACUAGGGAGAGAGAAAAUGGCGUUUCAUUUACCUCAUCAGCUCGGAGCUCUCGCCGGAACUCCGAUCAAGUCCCGUGAAACGAACGCAACGUCGCUGAAUUCAUCUCUAUCAGUUUCACCAGUCACCACCGUUGUCCGCGCGGAUGCAUAAAGCGAUUAAUCUGAAGAGUCUUGAGGCGUUGAAGAGUGGUGGCGUGGAAGGGAUCAUGAUCGACGUGUGGUGGGGUCUGGUGGAGAGGGAGUCUCCGGGAGGUUAUAAAUGGGCAGGGUACGAUGGCGAGGAAGGUUGAGCUCAAGGUUCAGGCUGUUAUGUCUUUUCAUCAGUGUGGUGGUAACGUUGGUGAUGUCACUAUUCCUCUGCUUCAGUGGGUUGUUGAAGAGGUUGACAAUGAUCCGGACCUUGCGUACACUGAUCAGUGGGGGGAGAAAGAAACACAAGUAUAUAUCACUUGGUGCUGAUACACUCCCUCUUCUCAAAGGCAGAACACCCUUGCAAUGCUACUGUGAUUUCAUGCGUGCUUUCAGAGACAACUUCAAGCAUCUUCUUGGAAACACCAUUGUGGAAAUUCAAGUGACAUUGGGACUAAUAGGAUUGAAACAUUUUUUUUCCAAAUUUUGUUUUGGAAUAAAAAUUUAAUAAGAUUAGAAAGCGAUAUCAACAUGUCUACUCUUAUAUAGAAUCACAGUAAAAGAUGAAACUAGACACAAUUAAUCUACUUUUCUA